rnacentral:rRNA from 1 species
UACAGAGGUCCCGAGCGUUGUUCGGAUUCACUGGGCGUAAAGGGUGCGUAGGUGGCCUAAAAAGUUUGAUGUGGAAGCUCAGGGCUUAACCCUGAAAUGGCAUUGAAUACUGUUGGGCUGGAGGUUUGGAGGGGGGACUGGAAUUCUUGGUGUAGCAGUGAAAUGCGUAGAUAUCAAGAGGAACACCAGUGGCGAAGGCGAGUCCCUGGACAACACCUGACACUGAGGCACGAAAGCUAGGGGAGCAAACAGG